rnacentral:rRNA from 1 species
ACGCUCGACACCUACGGGGGGCAGCAGUGGGGAAUAUUGCACAAUGGGGGAAACCCUGAUGCAGCGACGCCGCGUGAGCGAAGAAGUAUUUCGGUAUGUAAAGCUCUAUCAGCAGGGAAGAAACUGACGGUACCUGACUAAGAAGCACCGGCUAAAUACGUGCCAGCAGCCGCGGUAAUCGUGAGGCGGGCGUGGCGAAGGC